rnacentral:rRNA from 1 species
AUUGAACGCUGGCGGCAUGCUUUACACAUGCCAGUCGAACGGCAGCGCGGGCUUCGGCCUGGCGGCGAGUGGCGAACGGGUGAGUAAUGCAUCGGAACGUGCCCAGUAGUGGUGGAUAGCCCGGCGAAAGCCGGAUUAAUACCGCAUACGACCUGAGGGUGAAAGCGGGGGACCGAAAGGCCUCGCGCUAUUGGACGGGCCGAUGUCGGAUUAGCUAGUUGGUGGGGUAAAGGCUUACCAAGGCGACGAUCCGUAGCUGGUCUGAGAGGACGACCAGCCACACUGGGACUGAGACACGGCCCAGACUCCUACGGGAGGCAGCAGUGGGGAAUUUUGGACAAUGGGGGCAACCCUGAUCCAGCCAUGCCGCGUGCGUGAAGAAGGCCUUCGGGUUGUAAACCGCUUUUGUUCGGGAAGAAAUCCUCUGGGCUAAUACCCCGGGGGGAUGACGGUACCGGAAGAAUAAGCACCGGCUAACUACGUG